UACGUAGGGACCGAGCGUUGUCCGGAUUCAUUGGGCGUAAAGAGCUCGUAGGCGGCCACUCAAGUCGAAUGUGAAACCUCGAGGCUUAACCUCGAGCCUGCAUUCGAUACUGGGCGGCUAGAGUCUGGUAGGGGGAUCUGGAAUUCCUGGUGUAGCGGUGGAAUGCGCAGAUAUCAGGAGGAACACCAGCGGCGAAGGCGGCGCUCUGGGCUGGAACUGACGCUGAGGAGCGAAAGCGUGGGGAGCGAACAGG
rnacentral:rRNA from 1 species